UGAACGCUGGCGGCGUGCUUAACACAUGCAAGUCGAACGAGAAAGCUUCCUUCGGGAAGUGAGUAGAGUGGCGCACGGGUGAGUAAUACGUGGGUAAUCUACCCUUGAAUUUGGGAUAACAUCGCGAAAGUGGUGCUAAUACCGGAUAAUAUCUAUAAGGCUUCGGUUUUUUAGAUCAAAGAUGGCCUAUUCUUGAAAGCUAUCGUUUAAGGAUGAGCCCACGCACCAUUAGCUAGUUGGUAGGGUAAAGGCCUACCAAGGCAUCGAUGGUUAGCUGGUCUGAGAGGAUGAUCAGCCACACUGGAACUGACACACGGUCCAGACUCCUACGGGAGGCAGCAGUGAGGAAUUUUGCGCAAUGGGGGCAACCCUGACGCAGCAACGCCGCGUGAGUGAUGAAGGCUUUUGGGUCGUAAAGCUCUGUCAGCAGGGAAGAAGUCGUUUAUGGUUAAUACCCAUAGGCGUUGACGGUACCUGCAAAGGAAGCACCGGCUAACUCC
rnacentral:rRNA from 1 species